UUGGGGGUGGAGUAACCGCUUUGAAAUCAGAAGCAAAACUGGGAACCGCAGAGAGUUUCCUCAGGAGGUCUUACUUUGAGGAAGCUAUCUACUGCUACAAAAACUCAGAUGUUGUGGAUAAAAAAGUCUACAGGAGGGGACAUUUAUGAGAAGUGUCUCAGACAGUAUCAGUGUUGCUACAGAGAAGCACAGCCUGUGUUGAGCUAAAAGUAAUGAAUCCUAAGAGGAGCCAACCCACAGGACCCAUCAGCAUCUUGUGGGCUUAAGAUCUUCACCCUAGCUGUCUGGAACUGAGUCUCCCACUAGCAGCCUUCAGAUGAAGAUGUAGAACUCUCAGCUCUGCCUGCACCAUGCCUGUCUGGAUGCUGCCAUGCUCUUGCCUUGAUAAUGAACUGAACCUCAGAACCUGUAAGCCAGCCCCAAUUAAAUGUUGUCCUUAUAAGACUUGCCUUGGUCAUGGUGUCUGUUCACAGCAGUAAAACCCUAACUAAGACACCUAUGUUACCUUAUUGAAGGAACUGAGGAGGAGUAGAAAUCUCACU
rnacentral:lncRNA from 1 species